rnacentral:rRNA from 1 species
CCUACGGGAGGCAGCAGUAGGGAAUAUUGCUCAAUGGGGGCAACCCUGAAGCAGCAACGCCGCGUGGAGGCUGAAGGUUUUCGGAUUGUAAACUCCUUUUGUUAGAGAAGAUAAUGACGGUAUCUAACGAAUAAGCACCGGCUAACUCCGUGCCAGCAGCCGCGGUAAUACGGAGGGUGCAAGCGUUACUCGGAAUCACUGGGCGUACAGAGCGCGUAGGCGGGAUAGCAAGUCAGAUGUGAAAUCCUAUGGCUUAACCAUAGAACUGCAUUUGACACUGUUAUUCUAGAGUAUAGGAGAGGUAGGUGGAAUUCUUGGUGUAGAGGUGAAAUCCGUAGAGAUCAAGAGGAAUACUCAUUGCGAAGGCGACCUGCUAGAACAUAACUGACGCUGAUGCGCGAAAGCGUGGGGAGCAAACAGGAUUAGAUACCCGGGUAGUC